GGAUGUGAGGGCGAUCUGGCUGCGACACUUGUCACUCCAUUGAUCUCCAGGGUUGCUUCAGUUGAUCUGGCUGACUAGAUGCAUAUCCUCUUCCUACCUCACUGCUCCAUGUGUGUCCCUUCCAAAGUUGUGCCCUUGGUGGAAGAGGAUGACCAUCCCUGCUAGAGGAGGACCAUUCUAUGGUCAAGGGUUUAUGAAUAACUGUACUCCCCUGCUAGAACAUACAAACAAGCUCUCAAAGCACAAAGACUCAUGAGGAUGUUGUUCUGUGCACACAUCUUUAAUCUUUAAUGGUUUACCUUUUCCAUUUAUAAAGAACUGA
rnacentral:snRNA from 1 species